rnacentral:rRNA from 1 species
UACAGAGGGGGCAAGCGUUAUUCGGAAUUAUUGGGCGUAAAGGGCGCGUAGGCGGCCUGGCAAGUGGAUGGUGAAAUCCCUCGGCUUAACCGAGGAACUGCCAUCCAGACUGCUUGGCUUGAGACCGGGAGAGGUGAGUGGAAUUCCCAGUGUAGCGGUGAAAUGCGUAGAUAUUGGGAGGAACACCAGUGGCGAAGGCGGCUCACUGGACCGGUACUGACGCUGAGGCGCGAAAGCGUGGGGAGCAACAGG